rnacentral:rRNA from 1 species
AACACAUGCAAGUCGAGCGGAGAUGAGGUGCUUGCACCUUAUCUUAGCGGCGGACGGGUGAGUAAUGCUUAGGAAUCUGCCUAUUAGUGGGGGACAACAUUCCGAAAGGAAUGCUAAUACCGCAUACGUCCUACGGGAGAAAGCAGGGGAUCUUCGGACCUUGCGCUAAUACAUGAGCCUAAGUCGGAUUAGCUAGUUGGUGGGGUAAAGGCCUACCAAGGCGACGAUCUGUAGCGGGUCUGAGAGGAUGAUCCGCCACACUGGGACUGAGACACGGCCCAGACUCCUACGGGAGGCACCAGUGGGGAAUAUUGGACAAUGGGGGGAACCCUGAUCCAGCCAUGCCGCGUGUGUGAAGAAGCCUUAUGGUUGUUAAGCACUUU